rnacentral:lncRNA from 1 species
GUCUAUGUGGACAGAAUGUGGGAAACAGUGUUACAGAGAUUUAUUUACUGUUUUUCUGUAUAUGUAGGUCUCUCUUGCCUCCUGUAGACACCUUCCUCUAGUCAGGCAAGUGUUAGGGGAAAAAUGGCAUGUGUAGUAGAAAUACUGUCACAGCUUGAAGCAGUGAUUGAGCACCUGGUAGAAAGGCAGGGCCAACGCAGAGCAGGUCAGGUACAAUGCAAUGCAGCUGAGUGACCUGAAGGGCUGGAGCCAGGAUCCACUCCAUCCCAGGCCUCAUUUAAGAGUUGGCAGUGGAGGUGAGAAUAUCUUGCUGGAAAUCUCUGUCUACCUGAGUCCUUCCAAGGGCUUUGAAUACCCAAUGUCUGACAACUGAUGAAACGCAUCAGGCUCAAAAAAAAGCUGGAAAGCAGUAUCAGACCUUCUGGAUACAACAUGGACUUGAAGUUGAGCCAGUUUACUUUUUCAAGUCCCAGUAUGAACUAUGUCAGAAGAUGUUGCUCUCUGCAUCGGUACGCUCCUUAAAAUACAAAAUUUCUGUUUUGAUUGCUUGCAUGGUGGCUUAACAAUGUAGAGACUCUUUUGGAGUUUGGUUCCAGAUUUCAUGACUCAGUGAUGGUGACUUUUUCAUUUUGUUUUCCAAACUGUCUCUUUGUUUACUUCCAAAAUUUCCAUUGACUUCAGAGGAAGUAGGAUGGCGCCAAUGAGGUUCUUACAGCUUAAGAAAUCUGUCCAAAUUUGUCACUAGCUUAAAGAAUUUGGCUUAAGAAGUCCUUUUAUGUGUGGGCUAAUUGUGGUAAUGACUACAGCCAUUUGUAUGUACCAAGAUAUUCUAGCUUCUGCUCACAUUGUAAUUAGAUGUAUUAUCUUACAUCACUGAUUAAAUUGAAAUGCUUUCUUCUUAACUCUUUAAUUAAUAACUCCAUUAAUAAGUUGUAAAGCACUGUUCAGAGUAACACUUAAAAAAAAAAUUCUGCAAAGACCACGUGUAAGAGCAUGUUGUCUUAUUUUUAAUUAUUAUUGCUGGAUUUCAGAUAAUGCCCCAGGGACUUCAUUUGGGUGGUCAAGUAAUUCUGCAUGAGUAAUAAACAAAUAAUUCUACACCCAAUUCUGUUUUAUUCCCACAGCUGAGAUUCCUUAUGCAAGUAGUUCCACUUCAGUAUUUAGGCAUGCAGUUAAUCCUAGCUAUUUAUAUGGCUAAAUACCACACCCUGAAACAAAGGAUCCAGUAUCAGUCCAUG